rnacentral:misc_RNA from 1 species
GUGAAUCAUCAAAUUUUUGAACGCAAAUUGCACUUUCGGGUAUUCCGGAAAGUAUGCCUGGUUGAGGUUCAGUUAAAUAAAAAUCGGGGUUGUUGCUGCCUUUCGUGUUGACGCGUCGGAAUUGGGUCGUCUUACCCUCGGUUAAGUGACUUAAAAUUUUUGCAUGAUUUUCGAACGUAUUUAAAUCGCUUACGUACGUUUGAGAUAUCGAAUUCUUAUUAUGUUCGGUCAUUCCCAUGAUUCGCGCCUAUAAUUUUUCAUUAAAUGACCUCAAAUCAGGGAAGAAUACCCGCUUAACUUU